rnacentral:misc_RNA from 1 species
CCGAGUUUACAACUCCCAAACCCAUGUGAACAUACCUGUCUUGUUGCUUCGGCGGCGCCCCUCGGGGCCCGCCAGAGGACCCAAACAAAACUCUUUGCAUUUUGAAUACAGUAUUCUGAGUGACAUGAUUAAAUAAAAUCA